UGUAUAUAGGUGAGUUCGUGUGAUUUUCCUAUUCAAGCUGGUCAGAUCAUUAGCGUGGAGCUGUAAUACCUCCGCUGUCCAGCAGGGAGCAGCAGCGCACUUUAAGAAACACCAUCUCCUGAACAUGACAGAACCGUAUAAUGUACAGGUGUAACUGGUUUUCAUGUGUAGGUGUGGGUAUUUGACUGUCUGUACAAGCGAAUGUUUUGUGUUAACGUUUUUUUCUGUCUGUACAGGUACUGUAAGUUACUGUGACGAUACUGACACCUUUAGGUAAAGCUUUUUUAGACGUCGUUGAUAAAAGAAGUGAAUCCGAGGGACAAGCUGAACAAAAAGGAUGAUGACUCCACCUAAAAGGAGAGUUGAGGACUGGCAGAAUCUUCGUGAACAGUAUUUGAGUAAUAACAUAGCAAUGAAGAAAGCUGGAAGCUCCACAACUGCAGAUAUGAAGUAGUUCAGGAAGGGAUUGCCGUGAAGGUUGUUGGUGUUCAGAAGCAGUCCAUACAGGAGCGAAGAUAACCUCUGGAGCGGAGAUCUUGUUUUUCUGCGCCGCUUGUUUUAGAAUUGCUUCAGCCUCGUCUGUCCUGCCCUGAGAGAGCAACCACCUAGGGGACUCUGGAAUUAACCUCAAAGUGAAAACAUUUAGCAGGCAGUGCAUGGAACAGAGCCAGUUUAAAUACUCCGUCAGAGACAUCACAACCCCUGGUUCCUGUCACCAACCACUGUAAAGAAGGCUGAGUCGGUCCCAGGGAAGUGAAAUCAGAACGAGGAUGUGAGUGGGCUUCACACCGGAAACAGCAUCACAUCUCCAGCUAGAUUUUCAGAAAGUGUUAAGGAGGACAGGGGUUUUCCA